rnacentral:tRNA from 1 species
GGAGAGAUGUCCGAGCGGCUGAAGGAGCACGACUGGAAAUCGUGUGUGCGUUAAUAGCGUACCGAGGGUUCAAAUCCCUCUCUCUCCG